CGAUCCUAGCUUGCUAGGAGGCGUCGAGCGGCGGACGGGUGAGUAACGCGUGAGAAUCUACCCAUGAGUGGGGGACAACCCGGGGAAACUCGGGCUAAUACCGCAUACGCCCUACGGGGUAAAGCAGGGGACCUUCGGGCCUUGCGCUGAUGGAUGAGCUCGCGUCGGAUUAGCUUGUUGGUGAGGUAAAGGCUCACCAAGGCGACGAUCCGUAGCUGGUCUGAGAGGAUGAUCAGCCACACCGGGACUGAGACACGGCCCGGACUCCUACGGGAGGCAGCAGUGGGGAAUCUUGGACAAUGGGGGCAACCCUGAUCCAGCCAUGCCGCGUGUGUGAAGAAGGCCUUCGGGUUGUAAAGCACUUUCAGCAGGGAGGAAGGCUUACCCCUAAUACGGGUGAGUACUUGACGUUACCUGCAGAAGAAGCACCGGCUAAUUUCGUGCCAGCAGCCGCGGUAAUACGAAAGGUGCAAGCGUUAAUCGGAAUUACUGGGCGUAAAGCGCGCGUAGGCGGUGUGUUAAGUCGGAUGUGAAAGCCCAGGGCUCAACCUUGGAAUUGCAUCCGAUACUGGCACGCUAGAGUGCAGUAGAGGGAGGUGGAAUUUCCGGUGUAGC
rnacentral:rRNA from 1 species